GCUAAGGUGGCAGAGCCCGGUAAUUGCAAAAGGCCUAAGCCCUUUCACUCAGAGGUUCAACCCCUCUCCUUAGUU
rnacentral:tRNA from 1 species